CUACGGGGGGCAGCAGUGGGGAAUAUUGCACAAUGGGCGCAAGCCUGAUGCAGCCAUGCCGCGUGUAUGAAGAAGGCCUUUGGGUUGUAAAGUACUUUCAGCGGGGAGGAAGGGAGUAAAGUUAAUACCUUUGCUCAUUGACGUUACCCGCAGAAGAAGCAUCGGCUAACUCCGUGCCAGCAGGCCGCGGUAAUACGGAGGGUGCAAGCGUUAAUCGGAAUUACUGGGCGUAAAGCGCACGCAGGCGGUUUGUUAAGUCAGAUGUGAAAUCCCCGGGCUCAACCUGGGAACUGCAUAUGAUACUGGCAAGCUUGAGUCUCGUAGAGGGGGGUAGAAUUCCAGGUGUAGCGGUGAAAUGCGUAGAGAUCUGGAGGAAUACCGGUGGCGAAGGCGGCCCCCUGGACGAAGACUGACGCUCAGGUGCGAAAGCGUGGGGAGCAAACAGGAUUAGAUACCCCAGUAGUC
rnacentral:rRNA from 1 species